AGACAAUAAGGUGAUAUUUGUUUUAGAAUUCCUACGCUUUACCGGUUUUUAAAAAUGGCAAAGCGUUUGAAGUCUAAAACAAAAGCACAUAACAACUCGCUG